rnacentral:piRNA from 1 species
UACAAACUAGAAUGUGGUGUAAGGCAG